UACGUAGGCAGCAAGCGUUGUUCGGAAUUACUGGGCGUAAAGAGUGUGUAGGUGGUGUCGUAAGUUUGGUGUGAAAUCUCCCGGCUCAACUGGGAGGGUGCGCCGAAUACUGAAUGACUUCGAGUGCGGGAGAGGAGAGUGGAAUUCCUGGUGUAGCGGUGAAAUGCGUAGAUAUCAGGAGGAACACCGGUGGUGUAGACGGCUCUCUGGACCGUAACUGACGCUGAGACACGAAAGCGUGGGUAGCAAACAGG
rnacentral:rRNA from 1 species